GGAUGUGAGGGCGAUCUGGCUGCGACAUCUGUCACCCCAUUGAUCGCCAGGGUUGAUUCGGCUGAUCUGGCUGGCUAGGCGGGUGUCCCCUUCCUCCCUCACCGCUCCAUGUGCGUCCCUCCCGAAGCUGCGCGCUCGGUCGAAGAGGACGACCUUCCCCGAUAGAGGAGAGGACCGUUCUCCGGUCAAGGGUAUACGAGUAGCUGCGCUCCCCUGCUAGAACCUCCAAACAAGCUCGCAAGGUCCAUUAGAGGUCUCAGCCCUUUAGAAAACAGAAGGAAUCCGUUUUUCUAACAUAUCUCUUAGGAACAAC
ensembl:misc_RNA 7SK 7SK RNA